rnacentral:RNase_P_RNA from 2 species
AGAGCCAGGUGCGUAAUCGCAAGCGGCAUAGCCGUUUGAGGAAAGUCCGGACUCCACAGGGCAGGGUGCUGGGUAACUCCCAGUGAAGUGAUUCAAGGAAAGUGCCACAGAAAAUAUACCGCCCAGUAAAGGGUAAGGGUGAGACGGUGAGGUAAGAGCUCACCUCAGCGGCCGGUGACGGCAGCUGCAGGUAAACCCCACCUGGAGAAAGACCAAAUAGAAGAGGAGAAGCUGCCCGCUUCGCUUGACUCUCGGGUAGGUCGAUAGUGGCCUCCGGAAACGGCGGCCCUAGAUAAAUGAUUACGGUCCAUCUUGAUGGAAACAGAAUCCGGCUUAUAUCCCGGCUCUGCCA